UCCUAGCCCCUUCCCCGUGUGACGCGCGCAUGCGAGUCUCGGAAUGCUGGAGCAGUUUUCUUUUUUUUCCGGAAAGGGCAGUUUUGUUUUUUUGGAUAGAAGCGAGUACCUCUGCCUCUCCAGAAACUGCGUACGCCGGGCUUUGCUGGGCCCGGAAGCAAGUCUUUGAAGAGUAGUUUUCAGGUAAAAUGGAGAGGAUUCAUUUGACAAAGGAGUCUUCAAUGUCCUAUCCAGCGGCCAAAACAACAGCAACAUGGAACCAAACCCAUGAAUUCAAGGGAUGAAAGCGUGAGCUGACUCCAGAGAUGUGCUGCCCACCUUCUUGGUUAAACAUACUCACUGUGAGGUCUGACAGCCUGACUUUGAAUCUGGGCCUUCCUCCAUCACAAGCCUAAGUAAGUCCCCUUACGCUGGGCUGCACCCCGCAGGCCUGCAAGCACUGUACUUGCCCAGCCUCAAUACCGAAGGAAGAGACCAGAGUCAGCAACAGAGACAUCAGCGGUUUAAUGGAUGGGGGAUCUUACAUGUCUGAAAUAAGGUCCUGGAGUGACACCUUACCGUGUGCAGCUGAUGGCCGGCAGGACAUGGCAGCAGUCUUCGCUUCAGGGGAGAGAAGAAGGUUACCGGUCAAAGGGGGAAUUGACGUCAGGUGGGCUCACUGGUUACCAGGGAAACCAGCAGAGGAGCACUCUCCUCAUUGCUCCUUUGAUAAGCUAUCAUAGUGGAGAUGUUUUGAUCUAAAGUUUUGAACUAUCACUAGCUGGGACCAGGUGCAAGUAUGUAGGCAUUCACUGAUUAGGAUCUAUAAUUAAGAGGGAAAGUCAGUUAGAUGAGUAGGGUGUAGGUGAAGCAGGAACUGGUUGACCAGGGGGUGUACAGAAAGCAAGAUACAGCCAUGUUGGGUGGCCCAAUCAUAUACUUUAGCUUCUCAGAACUUCCAUUCCUUAAACUGUAAUAUGAGAAGAAUAAUACUACCUGUGUUACAGUGACGUUAGAAAAAAAAGAUAAUUCAUAGAAAGUCCUUACUGUUAUGCCUGGCACAGUAAGUGUUCAGUGUUAAUUCUUUUAUAUAAAACACUUGGGUCUUGUUUCUCUAAGGCUCGUAUGGGUAUGGCUUUUAUAUGGUUUUUGAGCCAAUGAAGCACAGGCCUCUAGGAUUAUGUGAAAAAAAGUCACUAAUUUAUAAAUGUUGUCACUGACAGGUGCCAGGUAGUUACACUAAUUUUAAUAAUUUAAUCAUAUUACAGUUUUAAUGGUACAAAAAAUAUAACACUAUGUGGCAAGCUAUGUUCUAAGAGCAUUACAUAUAUUAACUAAUUCAGUCCCUAAUGUUAAAAGAUUCAGCCCAGUAAGUUUGAAGAUCUAAUUGGCCUUAAUGAAUGAUUCAUGAAUCAGGCAGCAUCCCGUCUAGAAAACAGAAAGGCACUCUGAGGGGUUGUACUAAAUGAUAGGUUUUUAUAGGAAGAAGUGUGGGAUGAGGAAGCUGUUAGCAAAAGAAAAGAAAGGAUAUCUUCUUGGGGGGAGGAGAGAGAAGGGCAAGGGUUUUAUCAUGUAGAUUGCCUCUUAUUCCUCUGGGAUGGGGGAGAAUGGAGAGGGCCCACUGUGGCAGAUUACCUCCUUGAUACUGACCAGGAAAUUCCAGACUGGAUGAAUAAGAUUACAUUUCUGGGGAAGGUUGAAACUGCAAUUCGGUUAGGUAUUAAAUCUAUGUUUGGCAUCAUGGUCUUUAGCAGAAGUGAUGCCAUUUUGGGCCUGUGGUUUUCUCUUUAAUACUAACAGGAGGGUACUAUUAUUAUCACUUGCAUUUUACACAUGAGGAAGUUCAAGAUACAGGUCUCCCAGCUAAGUGGCAAUGAGUGUUUGAGCACAGGAAGUUUGGGUCCAGAACUCAUGCUCUUAACUACUCUGCUCUACUGAUUAUUUUAUGAAAAUUGCUCAUACUCCUGACCACUUACUUGCUUUAGUCAAAGGUUAGAAAAUUGUAAGACACCUGGGAAAACUUAGACAAAUUAAUCAUGAAAUAUGAGAAGGAAAAUCAUAUAGACUAAGACAUUAAAAUAUUCUACAAUAAUAAAGAUAGAAGACGCUAAAUAAAGGAAAGAUUUUUGAAUGAAAACAGUGGAAGUCCGUAAGAAUAGUAAAUAAAACUACCAGUCAGAGACUUGUGUUUCUGGCGAAAUGGCAGUCUAGAUAUCUUGGUUGACUCUCACAAUAAAAAUGCUGGAUAAAGGAUAAAAGGACAUUUAGAAAACAAUAAAUGGAUGAGGAAGUUAGGAAUUUUAGAGGCUAAAAAGUAAGUGAAAGCAGAAACACAAAAAGGUCAACAAAUUGGCUUUAACUGUGGGAACGUUUGCCAAACCAAGCUCUGGUUUUCAAGUGAUAGGGUUUAGGACACGCUAUCCUAAAAUAUGACGUCUUGGUAUAUUGAAUAUUUUAAGUUGAAGGAGUCCGAGAAAAUGGCAGAAGCAGGAGGGUCUCUCUGACCUUCCCCUGGCCCUUCCCGCAUUAAGCAGGUCAUGAGACCCUCAUGUGAGAGGGACAUAACAAGAAAGGUAGACAUAUUUCCUGUCCUUCCAAAGCUUACAGUCUGACUCUAAGAGUGGGCUCUUUUUAUUCCCAGAUAGCAAACAAGGCAAAUGAAGCUCAGAGAGGCUAAUAGUCACAUAAUUAUUAAGUGGAAAAACUAUAUUUGUCUCAAUCUUUAACCCUUUCUCUUUCUACCACACAGGCUACUUAUUGAAGGUUUGUAUUAAUGAAGGCUUUUGGGUUGCAAGUGACAGAAAAGGAACUCAAACUACCUUAAACCAAAAAGGAAUUUUUUUGUUUUAUGAAACCAAGCCCGAGACAGGGAAGAGAACGUGCUGGCUUCAGGGAUGACCUGGCCCAGGGAAUCCCACAGUUUUGGGAGUCUCUCCUUUGCACUCUUGUUCUCAUUCUUGUUCUAUCUCUAUGUCUCUCUGCAUUUUGAAUUUAUUUUUUUCCCCAUGUUGGAUAGAUUUUUCUCCAUGUACUGGGGAAUACGCUACUGGUGACCUGUACCAUGUCCUAAUGACUCACAACAAAGGAAAAAGGGCAACUUCCCUGCUACCUAUAGUUAGAACAAUUCUGGGGAAAAUUGACUUUUUCUACAUGGGUAAUGAACACACCACUGGAUCCAUCAUUGAGGCUAGAAGGGUGAGGUAUUUUGAUUGGCUCUUAUGUCGCUUACCAGCUUCUGUAGCCAAGGAUGACAAAGCCUAUUAUCAAAAGAAGGGGGAGUGGCACAAAUGUGGCUGCCAAAGGGACCAUGAAUGGUGCCAACAUUUAGUAAGUACCUGAUAAAUGUUAAGUAAAGAACAAAUUCUCACAAGUGUGUAGUACAGCACCUUUGCAUCAAUAUUUACUAAUGACAUUGCACUAGAAUUUUCAAAUGCUAUAUUGAUCAGGUUUGUUUUACUAUGAUGGCUUCUAAAAAAUUAAUUGGAAAGCCUGUCCUGUUUUAUUCUUGUCUAAAUAACAUUCGAUAUAUAUGUUCCUUGAAUUAAAAAACAAUCACCCAUAAAAGUCCUUGUACUUUUUGUGGAAUAGGUUUUGAAAUAGAAUGCUAAUAUUGAUUUAGAAUUGUUUCCUGGGAAUUGGAUGUAUUUAAAUGUGCACAAUUAAUAACAUAUGGUAGACACUCAAAAUAUGUUAGUUUCCUCUCCAACUGGAAAACAGAGGAGAUCGUAAUGUUGGAGAUGCUUGAGAAAGAGCACAAUAUAUUGAAAGCAGACUUUUCAAAAGAUUAAUGUGAUAGCAGCAUUGAAAAAGAAAAGAAAAAAGUCCUGUAGGACGAUGCCUCUCAAACAAUUUGUAAUGGAGUAUCAGUUUCUUUUUUUCUUUUUUAAAUCUAUUGCAGAUCAUUUGUAAGAUAUAAUUACAAAUUACUAGAAAAAUAAAAUUUAAACAACUGGUAUACAAAAUAUAAGCAAUCUUCUAUUUUUAGAUUCAACAGACGUAAAAUUACUGUCUCAAAUGGUUGUCAAUGUUUCUAAACAGCAAAUCCUAAUUUUUACCUUGCAUUGGACUGGGAACGAACUGUUCAUGGAAGGUUACUGGUCCCCACUGACUAGGAGGUUGUGCAAUAAUUCUUAUGUCAAUGCCGUCCAGUCAAAGACCACAGGAACACAUCUCUUCCUGAGAAAGAGUGGCCUGAUCUGAUGAUGUUCUGUGAAAUUGAAUAUGUUCUACACCAAGACCUAAGCCGUGAGCGCCAGAUCAGCUCCCAGAUGUCAGUGACUACUUUUCUCUUUCUCACCUCUGUAAGGUGACAAGGCCCUGUCUAAGGGUAAGAACAUUGCAUUUGAAACGUACAGGAAAGGAUGUGGUGAACUGCUAUUACAAUACAGUGUCAAUCCUCAAACUUUAACGUGCAUCAGAAUCACCUGGCAGACUAGUUAAGACACAAAAUGUUGGGCCUCACCCCCCAGAGUUUCUGAUUCAGUAGGUCUGGGGUAGGACUUGAUAAUUUGCAUUUCUAAUCAGUUCCCAGGUGUUGCUGAUGCAGCCAGACCACACUUUGAAAACCACUGAAGUAGAUGGAAGUAUCAGAGGUGAGGAUGAUUACAGGGAAAGAAAAGACCUAUUGUAGUUAGCUGCAAUUCCCAAAAUAAAAAUCUACCACUUUGUCCUGGUAAUACUCUGAUGCAAUUCUGACACUGGACUGCACUGUGCAUUUUCCUGUUUUAAAUUACAAAUCUUUGAGGGGGAAGUUCACAGAGGAAAAUCCUCUCCAAAAUAAUUUGUGCAAAUUGUUGACUACUAAAGUUUGUACUUAACGUGAAAGUAAAAUUUAUGUGCUUAUUAUCCAUUUUCCAGGAAGUUUCCAAUUACAAAUAGGCAGAUCCAUUUUAGAAAAAUGGGUUAGAAAACCAGCUCUUCAACUGGAUUAUCUGCAAAUUGGCUUAUUUGCAAAUAGACGUUGUACCUACUAAAAGCAACCCUUACCAUCCCUCUGUUAAUUAUUCUACUCCAUCAAUUUUAAGACAGAAUUCCUUAAAAGGUAUGUAACUGCCCAUGCCUUUGAAAUAUUUAAAUGUCUUUACUAAAAAUUUGACUUUGUUUACUUAAUUUUGUUCAUUCUUUUCUGGGAUAAGAAAAAGUGGUAAAUAGAAAAGAGGAAGUGGUAAAUCAGGGUGGGAUGGGUGAUCCCUUCUUGUUCCAAAAAAUUCGUUUUAAUUUAAUUUCCUCUACAUUUGCCUGAUAUGGGAUAAAAGAAAAAAGUGUGGCAUGGACCUCUCGUGGUUCAGCUGGGUUGCCUCUGUCAUAUAAUGUACAUUGAGAUUCAGUUAGUUCUUGAACUAAAAAAAUUUAAGUAUCAUGCAAAGAAUCUGUAUAAGAACUUAAUAAAAUGAUUUUUAUAGCUCUUAUAACAAGUUAUAAACCAUUUUAUUAACUCUCUUUAAAAGGCUACCAAGAAUCUGGUGAUUCAUGAAAAACAGCUUCAACAAGUGUAAAUUAUUGCUUAUAGAAUUAGGAAACUUGGCCUUCUUUUUAAAAUAAUUUCAUCACAUCUCUAGAGAGAAUAGUCUUUGGCAGAGAGCUAGAUUCUGCAAAUCUAAGCUUUUUCAGUUUAGCAUCCAACUAAGAAUUCAAGUAGAAUAAGAUGAUUAAUCUUGGGGUUGAGAUGGGUCUACGCCUGAUUAGCUACUGGACCAGGAGCAGGUCUUGCUCUGAUGAGUAAUUUAACUUCAGUUUCUUCAUUUGUGAAAUGAGGAGCUUAAACUAGUUAACCCCUAGGGAUUCUCUGAACUCUUUAAUGUUCAAGUUGUUAUACUAGGCCUAGGGCUGUGGGUUUUAAUUACAUUAUACCCCUCUCUUUCACAGCUCCUCUUAAUUAUUUUUUCAGUAUCAGAAGGAUGUUGAUGAUAAGGGCAUGCAUGGAGAUGGCAAAGGGACUGGGAACAGAUUAGGAAGAGUUGAAGGAACUGAGAUUGUUGAGCUUGGAGAAGAGGAGGUUCAUGGUGGGGGAGAUAUGAGAUCUCCCUGAAAAAUAUGUGGAACUUGUCAUGUGAAGAAGAAAAACAUAUAUUCCAAGUUCAAAGGGUGGAAAUUACAAGGAGACAAAUUUGGGUUCAGUGUCAGGAAAAACUUUUCAACUAUUCAUUCAAACAUUACUAAAUAUUUGUUGAGCAUCUACUAUGUGCCAGGCACUGAUCUAGGUUUUGGGGAUUUGCCAGUGAAAAACACACAAAAACUCUUGUCCCAGUGAGGUGUACAUUCUGUUAGGAUAGUCUUACGUGGCAGUCACUGGAGGUUUUCAAACAAAGAUGGGCUGAUCAGAGAGAAUACAGUGGCUGGGAUUCCUUCUUUGGACUGGAUAACUUCCACAGUCUCUAAAGUCUCUGUGUGUGUGAACAUUAAUCAGUCAACACACAUUUAUUAAACAACUUCUAAGUGUCAGGUGUAGCCCUGGGCGCUGGAAAUGCAAAAAUGCAUAGACAGAUCUUGCCUUCAAGGAGCUCUCAAUCUUGUUGGGGAGAAAGACAUAAACAAUGUAAAAGUUUGGUAUGAGAAAUAGACAAUGGAACAAGAGUAUGCCAAUGGGGAAGAAAAACUCAGCUUGAAGGUGUUCUGAAAGAGGGGACACCUGAGGUAAGUGUUAAGUGUUGAGGACUUCACCAGACCUCAAAACAAGGUCAUAGAGGCCAUAAACAUAUGGUGCAUGUAGAAAACUGCAGAUAGUUUUAGGAUCCUAGUUUUUAUUUUAAUUCCCCAUGGAUAAAAAUGGGAUGGAGACCAUAGUGACUUAGGAUUAUACAAGUAUCUAUGCCCUUUGAGGGUGGAUCCCAAGAUUUGGUAAGGUAAACUGAUCAUAUAUAUUGACUUAUUCCUGCAUUCUUUCAAAAAUCAUUGAGUACGUAUUAUGCAUUAGAUACUCCAUUACACUGAUUGGGUUACAGAAAAAAAUUAGACCAAGUCUUUGUCCUCAAGGAGGGUCCAGUCUACAGGAAGGAAACAGACAGAUAUGAGGUAGAAUAAAGUGUCAGAAGUACUGUGGUAGACAUUUGUGUAGGGCAUUUGAGGCCCUAAAAACUAAAUGAGAAAUGAUGAGACAUGAGGGAAGAGAGACUAGGAAAAGCUUCAUUGAGGAGCUGACCUUGGAGUUGAGUCUUGAAAUUGAGAGGAUUCCACCAGGAGAAUGGACAGCAAAAGGGAGGCAAGUCCAUGGGAACUUGGUAAAACAGCAGGGUGCACUAAGAGUCAGUCUUGUUAAUGCUUGUCUUGAGUGUGGAAUGCAGGGUACCACAUCAUGAAAAGUUUUCCUUAUCACGCUAGGGAAUUCUAAAAGUAUCCUGAGCAGACCUAGGGAAUUCUAAAAUAUCCUUAUACUUGUGGGGCCCAGGCCAAAAACACAAGUACAGUUUCCUGGCUGGUCCCCUUCUCAUCUUACCCUCUCUCCUGUAAUUCUCCUUACACACAUGUGUGAACAACCCAGCUUGCAUGUCCAGGCUUUGUCCCAUCUCCCUGAAAAUAUCUGCCUUUGGCCACUUCUAAGGCCUAAGAGUGAGCCCUAGCAGUGGGAUCAGGCUGUUUCGGUUGGGAAUUCCAGGACUGUUGUCUGGAAGGGAGGAGGACACAGGCUCUCAGUGGGACCACCCUUUAGAUAGAUGGGGACUCCUGGCCCUGAGUGGGGAGGGGAGUGGUUGGAGGAGGGCCAAAAUGGAGUCCUUUAAACUUAAGACGGGCAGUAAACAUUUUCUGUAAAGGCUAGAUUGUAAUAUGUUAGGCUUUGUAGGCCAUAUAUGGCAAUUGUUGGGUAUGCUUUUUUUUUUUUUUUUUUUUUUGGUUAAAACACUUAAAAAUGUGAAAUCCAUUCUUAUCUUGAGGGCUAUACAAAAAGAGGGUACAGGCUGGAUUUGGCCAGGGUCCGCAGUUUGUAUGACAUGGGACAGCAGAAUAGUGAGGUACAACUGAAGGAUGCUAAAAAGGGGAGUGACAGUCACUUUGUGUUUUGGAAACAUUGAUCUGGCUUUGUGGAAAGUAUAUUGGAGUUUGAUGGGUUAGGAGGCUAACAAUCCAGGAAGGAGAUGAUGAAGUCCUGAAUGAAAUCAGAAGUAAUGGGACCUGAGAAGAUGGAGAAUAAAGAACAUUUAAAAAGAGUUGGUGACUUUGGGUUUCUGAUUAAGGCAACUGGUUGGUGGUUCUAAUUACUGAGAUAGGGACAUCUCAGGGCAGAGUGGCACAAGCUAAUGAGUUCUAGUUUUAGCAUCUGGAACUUGAGUUCUAGGUAGGGUACCGAGGGGAUGUCACAUAUAUGAACUGUUAUUCUAUAGUCAGAACAGGGCUGGAGAUACAGACUUGAGAGUCACCAGGGGAUAGAUGGUGAACAUUUGGAAAGUAAAAUUGAGGAAGAGAAACUUCUCCAUCCUACAAAUAUGUCUUUCUUGAGAUAAACCACAUCAAGACAAGGUGGGAGAGAAGAUACAGAAGGCUUGCCCUGGACACCUGGCAGGACUGAGGAUGGAUGCUGAGGCUGGUGAGCAGUGUCAUGCCAGAGCCUGAGGCAUGGUUGGUGUGGCAAAAAUGAGUCUGGAAGGGUGACCAAGGAAUGGUCAACAGAGAUCUCUCCUCCUGGGGUUAGUCCCUCAGCUACUGGAUUUACACCCCGAGUAGGAAUCUACUAUAUUGUAACAGGUCUGAAUCUAAGACCUUCUGGUGUGCAAGAAAUAUCACAUUUCUUUGUGAUCCCUGAAUCAACCUAGUUUUGACUCCAAGGUGCCACUCCACUGGGCUGGUAGGAAGGUGUACACAACUUAUUCUAGCAGCCUUGCAUUGCCGCCUCAACUGUGCUCCCUCAUUUCACCAAGCUUCUGGAGGCCUUUCUCACUCAUGAGUCAUCUCUCCCACCCAAGUUACUGCUGGUCUGCCCGUUGUCUCUGUCCGCACAAUCCUGUCAGGUCGGGCAGCUUUUGGCAGUUUCCCUGACACAUUUAGCAUACUAGAAUAUUUGUCAAAGCUCUGAAACCCAGUGCCUAGGCCUCUGCUUCCCUAGGUAAACCACGUACCUCCUUCUGGAGUCUUGCUGCUUCCUGGGGUAAUGACUUGGAGCAGAGCCUGGCUUCCUACUGCUUCUAGACCUAUGGACCUCUUCUCCCCACCAUUGCCAAGUAAUCUCUAUUAUGGGUGGAAGUUCCUCCCUCUUGCUCCUUCACCAUACACUUUAAGUUCAUUAAAUCUGUAACUUGAAAAACAUGUUCUUCUUUGCUCCAGGGAAGGGAGGGCUUUCUUCACCAAAGAUGAGGAAAAAUAUUUGCAUUUCACUUUCUAGUGCAUCAAAGAAAAAGAAGAAAAACAAAAUCAGAUAAGAUUAUGCAUUGGAACAGUGUGAGUAUUUGUAUCCUGACACAUAUUGGUAGAGAGGAGAUUGGCAAGUGCAAGGAAGAACCCAGGCCUCUAAAGGGCUUUAUGAAUGAGGUGGGACUGGAGAUGGGGACGAAGAGUAGCUGAAGGUGACAUCUUUGGACUUAGGCUUCCCUGAUUUUUAGAAUGGAGCAUUGCAGGGAGCCUGCACUCAGGGUCAUAGAUCAAACCUUGAAUAUCCCCAGUUACCUAGUAAACAGGGUUGCAGGUGGUGGUGGGGUGGGGAGGGGGGAGCACUGGGCACUGUUGCCUGUGUAGGAAAAAUACCCAGUCUUCCUCCUGUGUUUCUUCUUGACUUCUACAUUGCCACACUAACAACACUUCUGACACCAGAUGUGUGGAGAUUUUCCCCAACAAUGAGCAACACCAGGUGGAUGUCCUAUAAUUUAACUCAAUUCUGACACUGUCUACCUGGAGAUAGCCUCAGAUCCCAGGAGAUCCCCCUCCCCCAACCCACACACACACUUCAGAUGCCAAUCUUGAGUAAUAGGUCCUAGGUUACCCACAACUUCCUUCCAACUUGGCUACAAAUCGGAGGUUCCAAAGAACCCCCUUCUUAAAGUCAGUGAUUUGCUAGAAUAGCUCACAGAGCUCAAGGAAAUAUGUAUGUUUGUCUACCACUUUAUUAAAGGAUGUGAUAAAGAAUACAGAUGAACAGCCCGUAAAAGAGAUACAUGGGGCAAGAAUUCUGGAGGCUCCUGAGCUUCUGUCCCCAUGGAGUUGGGGUACACUAACAUGGAUAUGUUCACCAACCUGAAAGCUCUCCAGACCCCUUACUUUGGGGGUUUUUAUGGAGACUUCAUCACGUAGCCAUGACUGAUGAUUAACUCAUUCCUUCUCCCUCCUCAAGAGAAUGGGGUGUGGUUGGGAAAGGGGCUGAAAAUUCCAAGCUUCUAAUCAUGGUUUGGUUUUUCUGGUGACCAGCCCUCAUCCAGGAGCCCACCCAGACUUGCCUUAGGAGAACAAAAGUUUAUAUCACUCAGGAAAUUACAAAGGGUUCAGGAAUCCUGUGUAAGGAACUGGGGUCAAAGACCAAAUAUGAGAAAAGAAUAUGUUCUUGGUGCUGUUAUCACUUCGGAAAUCACAAGGGUUUUAGGAGCUCUGUGGCCUGAAGUGGGGGCAGAGACCAAUAUAUAUUUUGUCUAUUAUUUAACAGUGGUAUAGCCUCAUACAUACUUUCCUACCUGUAGUCAAGAUGGCUUUGGAAUUCUGUUGGGUUGUAUCUGGGUGCUGGGAUCAUUGCUCUAAUCUGUGGAUUGCUGGGAAUGGCUGGUGCUGGAAUGAGCUAACUUUUGUUUAGAAGUUAAGCAUUUACUUGCUUUAUUCAAUUAUCUCUUUAAACCACCCAGGGUGGUAAAUUUUACAAUUUCCUUUCUGCUGAUGGGAAACCUGAAGCUCAGAGAGGCCAGGUGAAUUUACCACAGUAACACAGCUAAUGUGUGGCCUAAACACUUGUCAGUUGUAGGUUCAACCUAUGGAUGAUUUAUUGCCCAACAGCAAUAUUUUCAGAAUGAAAGGGGCUGCUCUUAAUAAUUAUGCCAGCACACUAGGUGUACAAUGGAGUUCUCUUCAGCAGAUUGGGAUGUGUGGGCAACUGGUUAUUUUUCUAUUUUUAUUAACUUUUUUAAAGAACGAAUUGUAAUUUUGGUAAGCAUUUCUACUUUAAAAAAUUCUCUACCUUACAGAUUUGUAACAGUUUUAUUAUUUCCUUCCUUUAAGAAAGAUAUGAUUGCCACCACCUUUUAUGAAGCCAAUUUAACCCUAACCUCAAAACUUAAUAAAAGCUGUACAAUAAACAUA